UCAUUCUUAGAGAAGCAGUAGUAGCUCAGUUAAAGCACGAUUUCUUCAUCAUUUAGUCAUAAGUACAUAAAAGAAUAUUAGGAUAAGAGUCAGUUACUCAAAAUGAGUGGUUUGGAAGAUAUGUUGUAUUGUAACUAAUGUAAUAUUUUGAUAAAUCGAUUUGCUUCCAAUAAACCUAUACUUGCGAUGAAAUUUGGUACAAAAAACGUUUCUAUUUACCUAGUACCUAUUAAAUUAUACUAUAUAUACCUACGUAUAAACCGGCCGUAAAAAACACUAUAUAUUUACGAAAUUAUUGGCAAUUUUUUUAUUUCCGAACAAUUUUUCUUGAUUAUAGAUUACCUUCAAAUAUAAAAAACUAACAAAUAAUAGAGUGGUCUGUUUUUCAAAGAAAUAUAUAUAUUUUUAAUUUCUUUGCUCUUAAUAAAAACAGACCAAUUUAUUAUUUUUUUCGUUUUUAUAUAUUUGAAGAAAACCAUCAACACAAACAAAUCAGGACAAGCUAUUGUGACACGUCUCCAGGCGGUGUCUGGAAUGCCAUAGCCUCCUGUUCCAAGGGCGGCAUUCGCACGUCCAGGCAUUUGAUCUUCCCGACAUAUGAGCUGCAAACAUUAUAUAGGUGGCUGCCAUGGCGUGUGGGCAUCCUCAGGUUGGGGUACUGGUAGGUGAACAGAACUUGCUCACAGUGUAGCUCCCCAUAAUAAUACCGCUGGACAUCGUGAAUCGACCAGUACCGUGAG